GAUGAACGCUGGCGGCGUGCCUAAUACAUGCAAGUCGAGCGAAUGGAUUAAGAGCUUGCUCUUAUGAAGUUAGCGGCGGACGGGUGAGUAACACGUGGGUAACCUGCCCAUAAGACUGGGAUAACUCCGGGAAACCGGGGCUAAUACCGGAUAACAUUUUGAACCGCAUGGUUCGAAAUUGAAAGGCGGCUUCGGCUGUCACUUAUGGAUGGACCCGCGUCGCAUUAGCUAGUUGGUGAGGUAACGGCUCACCAAGGCAACGAUGCGUAGCCGACCUGAGAGGGUGCUCGGCCACACUGGGACUGCGACCCGGCCCAGACUCCUACGGGAGGCAGCAGUAGGGAAUCUUCCGCAAUGGACGAAAGUCUGACGGAGCAACGCCGCGUGAGUGAUGAAGGCUUUCGGGUCGUAAAACUCUGUUGUUAGGGAAGAACAAGUGCUAGUUGAAUAAGCUGGCACCUUGACGGUACCUAACCAGAAAGCCACGGCUAACUACGUGCCAGCCGCCGCGGUAA
rnacentral:rRNA from 1 species